UUUAUUGAUAAAGAGGUAAAAUUAUUUUAAAAUAAAUAAUUGUUUAAAUUUUUAAAAAUAAUAAAAUAUCAAAAAAGUAUUAUCGUUACUUCUAAAAAUAUAUUUUCAUUAAUUAAUAUUUUAUAUUCUUCUUAUAACAAUAAUUUACUUAGAUUUUUUUUAUAAAAAUAAAAUAAAUAUAUAUCUUAAAAAGUAAAAAUAUUUUCACAAAAUAAAUAAGACAUUUAACUUUAACUUGGGGGAUGUGAGUUUUAAUUUAGUGUGGUGUGACACAAUCCUGAAUUUGUAUUUGUAUUUUUAUUUUUCAGUCGAGACAGAGUCCGUGGAGGUGAAUGUGUUGGAAAAAAAAGUGACACUUACCUUCAGAUUACCAACUGUUGCUAAAAGAAUCACUCAACAAAUUACUCCCAUCAAUAGGAAUUCUCUGCCUAAAAUUGCCACUAUCAAACGUUUAUUUCGAUCUUCCCUUCAGUAACUGCACUUUACAAAGAAUCUCUAUGUUCACAAAGGAUAUUUUGUUUAUUGAUUUGACAUUGUAUAGAAAUAAUAUUUUUUGCCUCAUAAUUGAAUUGGUUUUAUGAUUAGCGAUUGUUUCUUGAUAAAAUUUUGUUUUAUAGUUUGAACACAUAAUAGUUUCAUAUUCAUUUUUGUUGAUCUUGUUUUGUGCACAUACCUUGAGAAUAUGGUAUUUUCUAAUUAUAUAAAUCAAAAUAAUAUUAUUUAAUCUAUCUGAUCUGAACAUGUAAGACCAAAAUUUAAUUUAAAAAUAUAUAUUUAACUUAAAAUUCUAAUUUAACUGAUAAAUGUCGAUAUUGUUAGGUUGAAUAUUUUAUCUCAAAUUCGAAUCGAGACCUUAAAUAAUUGUAUGACUUAUUUAUGAUAAUAUUUACCACAUCUUCUAAAAUAAAUUAUCUUAUAAUAGAUGCAAUAGAAACAACCAAAUUAAGUGAUUCAUGCAUUAGAAAAAAAAUUAUUUUCAAAAAAUUCAAGAUAUAUAAUAAAAUAUGAUUUUGAAUCUACCGUUAAAAUCUUUCUAAUAAUUUUUAAUACAUCAUGUAAAAUUUCAUCUAAUAAUUUUUAAUACAUCAUGUAAAAUUUCAUCUAAUAAUUUUUAAUACAUCAUGUAAAAUUUCAUCUAAUAAUUUUUAAUACAUCAUGUAAAAUUUCAUAAUGUUGAUAUAUCUUUGGAGGUUCAGCAUUUGUGUUUCCUUCUCUAUCUUUUAGAUAGAAAUUUGAGAGAUGGGAUCUAAAUCCACGAUGGAUUUUCCCAGCAACUCUCAAAACAUAUGACUUUCGUUCCUCAUCAAGAACAAAAGUGGUCUGCAAUGAAAACAAUUAUAAGUAAUGUAUUUUACAGAAAAAAAAUUAUAAAUGACAAAAGAGUAGAUCAAAAUAUUUACUUGAAUGUCAUUCCAGAUGAUAUCUUUGGCAUCCUUCAACGCCUUAUCUCUCCAGUUGUCUAUUGUUAUUGGGACAUUUUGACGAACAACAGCCCCAAUGUAGCUUACAAACAUGGAGCUGUUGGGGUCAACUGGCUGACCACUCUCGUUCCAGCCAACCUAAUAAACUCAUAUAGUAAGUACAUGCCCUAAACCCUAAAAAAAGAUAAAAAAACACACAGCAAACAGAGUAUAUAUAGUAUACCUCAAAUUUAAUGCCACUGCUCCGUGCUUUAAUCACCCUUUGCAUGAUAGUUGCACCACGUUUGACUUCUUUUUCGUAAGUCUUAGAGGUGCCAACUUCUUCAUUUUGAACUUCUAAAUCUUUGUUUGUAUCCAUUUAACUACAACAAGUUCAACAUGCACUUUAGUAUAACAUCAACAAGCUCAACAUGGAUCAUGCAUUAUUAUAAACAAACUCAACAUGUAUCAGUAUAUCUUAAAAAAGCUCAACAUGCAUUCUAAUGAUUACAAAAAUUUAAUAACAUCAAUACCUGAAUAAUGAUGGUUCGAAGAAAGACGAAAUGCAAAGAAAAGAGGGUUUGCAGAAAGUUCACAGAAAUAUGGUUCACAGAAAUACGGUUUGAAGAAAUACGUAAUGAGGGUUACGUAUUUCAAUGAAAAUAUAUUGUGUGAAAUGGGAGAGAUGAUCUUGGAUGGAAAUAAGGUUCGAAAUGAAGGAGAUGAUCGUGGAAAUAAGGUUCGUAAAGGACGGGAUGAUAGGGUUUGCAAAAGAAGAGAAGAAAUGAAGGUUGAGAUGAAGGUUACGUAAUGAAGAGGAAACUGAAGAGGUAACUGUUAUAUAUACGUAACACUUUUACAGCGCUUUUUAUAAGCCUUUUACAGCGCUUAUUUUGUAAAGCGCUCUAAAAGGCUUCUUUAGUUAAAUUUUUAAAAGGCUCUUUUACAGCGCUUUUUUCAAAUAAGCGCUGUAAAAGACCUCCGUGUGUUAUUAUGUUAUUUGAAUGCCUUUUACAGCGCUUUUUUCAAAUAAGCGCUGUAAAAGACCUCCGUGUGUUAUUAUGUUAUUUGAAUGCCUUUUACAGCGCUUUUUUCAAAUAAGCGCUGUAAAAGACCUCCGUGUGUUAUUAUGUUAUAUGAAUGCCUUUUACAGCGCUUUCACACAUAAGCGCUCUAAAAGGCUUCUUUAGUUAAAUUUUUAAAAGGCUCUUUUACAGCGCUUUUUUCAAAUAAGCGCUGUAAAAGACCUCCGUGUGUUAUUAUGUUAUAUGAAUGCCUUUUACAGCGCUUUCACACAUAAGCGCUCUAAAAGGCUUCUUUAGUUAAAUUUUUAAAAGGCUCUUUUACAGCGCUUUUUUCAAAUAAGCGCUGUAAAAGACCUCCGUGUGUUAUUAUGUUAUUUGAAUGCCUUUUACAGCGCUUUUACACAUAAGCGCUCUAAAAUGUCUCUUUAUGUUAAUUUUAAGAGGCUCUUUUACAGCGCUUUUCCCAAAUAAGCGCUGUAAAAGACCUCCGUGUGUUAUUAUGUUAUAUGAAUGUUUUUUAAAGCCUUUUACAGCGCUUUUCCACAUAAGCGCUCUAAAAUGUCUCUUUAUGUUAAUUUUAAAAGGCUCUUUUACAGCGCUUUUUCCAAAUAAGCGCUGUAAAAGGCCUUAUUGUUUUUGUGUUUUGUUAUGUUAUGUUAUUUUUUAAACAAGCUCAACAUGCAUGCAAAACCCACAUAGUAGUAACUGGUCACCACAAAAAUCCCUUCCUCUUCACCAAACUCUUCUCCUUUUAUGCAUCUUCUUCACAAACAUCAAAGCUUACUCUUUCACAAUUCAAUCUCCACCUCAACACCCUUUUUAUCUCUUUACAUUCUCUUUCCUUCUUAAAUCGAAACUUAAUUGGUAUUCAGGAUCAUUGCCAUGUUGCGAAAAAUGGGUUUGUGUCUGGUGUUUUUGGGGAUUCCCAUGAUGCGUACAAGGUGUUUGAAGAAAUGGGUUUGUGUCUGAUGUUUUUUGGAUUCCCAUGAUGCGUACAAGGUGUUUGAAGAAAUGGGUUUGUGUCUGAUGUUUUUUGGAUUCCCAUGAUGCGUACAAGGUGUUUGAAGAAAUUAGGUGUCUGAUGAAUAUUAUUUUUAAAGCUUUUUUACAGCGCUUUGUCAAAUAAGCGCUGUAAAAUGUCUUUUUUACUCACUUUCAAAAGAGUCGUUUACAGCGCUUUGUGUGAAAAGCGCUGUAAAAGGUAUAAAACACUCAUUAUUUUAUUUUUAAAAGGAUCUUUUACAGCGCUUUUUAAGAUAAGCGCUGUAAAAUGUCUCUUUAUUUUAUUUUUGUGUUUGGUUUAUUUGGGUUGGGAUGACAUUAAAAACAUUUUUAUCAUUGUUUAUUGGAUUAAAAAUAUUGUUAUCAUUGUCUUUAUCACAAUACUUUAGGAGAUGAUGAAUUAUUAGAAAUGAGUAUUCUGAAGAAUCUAUAUAUAUAUAUGCACUGAGCAAAAGAGAAUCUCUCUAUUCAGUUCAGUUCAGUUCAUGUAAAUUACUAAUUUAUAUUCAGUUCAGUUCAUGUAAAUCAAGCUAAAUAUAAAACACUCAUUGUUACAUGAACUUGGUAUAAAACACUCAAAUCAAGCUAAAUAUAAGCAGAAAAUAAAUUAAUCAGAAAAUAAAUUAAUCAGAACUUAGUAUAAAACACUCAAUUCAGAUUACAUGCAUAUUUACAAUAACACAGUUCAGAUUACAUGCAUAGCUUAUAUAAAACAAUUAAACAUAUAUAUACAUUAAGAUGCCCUUCUUCUUUUCCUGGUGACAUUCACAUUUGUUUGUCCAUUUACAAUACGAAACGAUGGAUUAAUCCAAAUUCCCUCAUCAUGAUCAUCUCUAAGAUAUAAACCAUCAUCAGUUGAAUCAAUUUCAUGUGGUUGUUGUGAUGUUGCAAAUAAAAGAUCAUUACCAACAUCUUCAUCAUUAUUGUUAUCAUCACUUAUUUUAUUGGUCGAUAGGACAACAGACCAUUUAUCAUUAGAAGGAUCAGUGACAUAAAACACUUGUUGAGCUUGCGACGCUAAAAUAAAAGGCUCGUCUUUGUAUCCCACCCUAUUAAAAUCGACAAGCAAGAAUCCUGACUCAUCAAUCCGAACGCCAUUAUUAUUAUCGACCCACUUGCAACCAAAUAUGGGAACACGAAACAUUGUGUAGUCUAACUCCCAUAUGCGCUCGAUAACCCCAAAAUAUGAUAGAUUUGCAUAUAUUGGGUUUUUGUCUUUUGCACUUGAGACAUGCAUCGCUUCAGCUACGAGAGUGACUCCACUAUUUUGCAUAGUGGUCUGAUCAUCUUGUUCUUUGGUAUAAAAUGUGUAGCCGUUAAUAACAUAACCAGUGUAAGAAAAGACAUGUAAGCUCGGACCAUUUGCUAGCCACCUCAAUCUAUUUGAAAUUGAUCCGGGGUCUAUAUCAAAUUUUGACAUUAUGUGAUUUUUUAACCAUGUUACAAAACUUCGAUUGUGCUCUCGAGUUAUCCAAUUUUGAUUCCUAUUCAUGUUCAAACGAGAUAACUGAUCAAUGUGUAUUGUAACAUACGGUUGAACCUCAUCAUCAUUGUGCAGAACAUACAAUUGUGCCUGCUCCCAUUCUGUCCUUGAUAUAGUCAGUAGUCUCCUUCCAGUUAUCCCUUCUCCUGAUAGUCUUCCCGAAUGACGAGACAUGGGAAGCCCUAUGGAUUCAACAUUGGACAGAUAUUCAGUACAAAAUUCAGCAGCCUCUUCAACAAUGUAUCGUUCAGCAAUACAACCUUCUGGUCGACUUCUACUUUUUACGUACCCUUUUAAUAUUUUCAUAUAUCGUUCUAUCGGAUACAUCCAUCUCAUAUAAGCUGGCCCACAAAGUUGUGUCUCCUUAACCAGAUGAACAGUAAGGUGAACCAUUAUAUCAAAAAACGAUGGUGGGAAAUACAUUUCAAGCUCACACAAAGUAACAACAAUUUCCCUCUGCAAUGUCGGUAAUUUCUGAGGGUCGAUCACUUUACUACAAAUUUCCCUGAAGAAGAAACAUAAUCUAGUUAAGGCUAGUCGAACUUUUUCAGGUAAAAUGGAACGUAUACCUAUUGGUAGCAAAUGCUCCAUUAUAAUAUGACAAUCAUGGGUCUUCAAACCUUUUAACUUGAGGUCUUUCAUACAAACCAAAUUUUUAAUGUUCGAAGAGUAUCCUUCUGGAACUUUAACUUCGUGUAGAAAUUUACAUAAAACAAUUUUUUCCUUUCUAGAUAGAGUAUGAGCGGCUGGAGGUAGAUAUGUGCGAUUUCCUUUCUUUACUGGAGCCAGUUCAUUUCUUAUUCCCAUAUCGACCAAGUCCAAUCUUGCAUUGACGCCAUCUUUAGACUUUCCUGGAACAUUGAGUAACGUACCAAUAACACUUUCAAAUACAUUUUUUUCAAUAUGCAUCACAUCGAGGAAAUGUCUUACAUACAAUGACUUCCAAUAUGGCAAUUCAAAGAAAAUUGACUUUUUCUUCCACCCAGUUUUCACCAGCUCUCCCGCAAAAGGUUUGCCAAAUUUAUUGGUCAAACCUUGUACUUUUUCAAGUAUUUGAUAUCCAGUCGGUGCUAAAGGAGCUUUACCUUCCUCUGAUUUUCCAUUGAAUGCAUUUCUCCACCCACGAUACUGAUGACUAUAAGGUAAAAAUCUACGAUGUCCAAGAAACACAUUCUUCUUACAAUGUUUCAACCACAUCCAAUUUGUACUCUCUUCACAUAUAGGACAUGCACACAAACCUUUAAUGCUAUGUCCUGAUAAAUUACCAUAUGCUGGAAAAUCAUUAAUUAUGCCGAACAACAUAGCCCUCAAAUUGAAACAUUCUUUCUUAUACCCAUCAUAAACUUCCACACCUGUCUCCCACAUACUUUUUAAAUCUUCGAUUAGAGGAGUCAAGUAUACGUCGAUAUCAUUCCCCGGUUGUUUGGGUCCAGAAAUUAACAGAGACAACAUCAUAAACUUACGCUUCAUACAUAACCAUGGAGGUAGGUUAUAUAUUACCAAAAUCACAUGCCACGUGCUAUGUGAGAUGCUUUGAAGACCAUGUGGAUUCAUUCCAUCAGUAGAAAGUGCAAGUCUUAGAUUUCUUGACUCUAUCCCGAAUUCAGGAUACUCGUGAUCAAUUUUUGCCCAUUGUGGGGAAUCUGCAGGGUGUCGAAACAUUCCAUCUCUAAUUCUUUCAUCUGCAUGCCAUAUCAAGUGCUUUGAAUCUUCUUCACUGCGAUACAUUAUCAACAUAUCUAAUAUUGGAAAAUGGAAACCAAGGUCCAUUAUUAUGUAACAAUUUUAAAAUAGAAAAGAUUUCAAAACAGAACAGAUCAACAAAUUUCAAAAAGAAAAGAUUUAAUAUGUAACAAUUUAUUAGUUUUCAGUUAUUAAAAAACUAAAGAUUUUUUGACAACAACAAAUUAAUAAAUACCUGAGACAAAGUAGAUGGCCGCACAGUACGUAGAGGAUAUGAGGGUUCCCAAAGUAGAGGUGAUGAGGGUUCGUAAAUUUGUUUUAAAUUUGUUUUUAUUUAUUUAAAAGUAAAUGAUUUUUAUUUAAAGCGCAUGUCUUUUACAGCGCUUAUGAAAAAAACGCAGUAAUAGGUAAUUUAAUUAUUUGAAAGCGCAUGUCUUUUACAACGCUUGUGAAAAAAGCGUUGUAAAACAUUAUGUGAGGGCGCUUCAGUUUACAGCGCUUGUGAAAAAAGUUAGUUUUUAUUUUAAAGAUCUAAAAUGAUAAUUUAAAAAAUAUAUAUUAUUUUAUAUGAUAUCUAUUUUAACUCUAUUUCUUAAUUUUACACUACAUUAAAAAAAUAAAUAUUAGGCUAGAAUACUUCAAAAUACUAGGCUAGUACUUUAAGACAGUGUACUUAUAUUAUAAAAUAUAUUAGCAAAUCGAUAAUUAGACACAAAAUACAUAAUUAAAUAUAAUAGUAAUAGUUAUUUAUUCCCUAAAAAUUAUUUAUUCCCUAAAUUAGUUUGGCAAAUUUAAAAUACUUUUUCGUGAACCUUAAUCUCUAAUUAAAUUGAUUUUAAAUUAAAUUUAAUGUAAACUAAAUCAUAGGUAGGUCAUGUCCAUUUUCCACCCUUACUAACUUAUUAUAUUCGUAGAAAAUAAUGUUAGGAAAAUUAUGUGUAUUACCAAGAUAGUUAUUUCAAUAACUAUUGGAUGAUAGUUACCACUAAAUUUGCAAGUUUGUAAUGUCAAAUUGAUAUUUUUUAUCUUAAUUUUUUCAACUUAAUUAUUUUUUAUGUGCAAUAAUUAUUUUUUAGAAAAUAAAAAAUAAAAAAUAACACAAAAUUAAAACAUAUUUUAGUGUUUUGAAAAUUCAAGACAUAAAGAAAUAAAUCAAUCUAACUCUUGAUGAAUGUUGAGAUUUGAUUGUAUUAUAUACACCACAACUCAGACCUAUUUCCUUUGUGUAAAUAUUUUUGGUUAUUAUUUCAUAAUUGUUUGUUAAUUUUAUUUAUUGAUAAAGAGGUAAAAUUAUUUUAAAAUAAAUAAUUGUUUAAAUUUUUAAAAAUAAUAAAAUAUCAAAAAAGUAUUAUCGUUACUUCUAAAAAUAUAUUUUCAUUAAUUAAUAUUUUAUAUUCUUCUUAUAACAAUAAUUUACUUAGAUUUUUUUUAUAAAAAUAAAAUAAAUAUAUAUCUUAAAAAGUAAAAAUAUUUUCACAAAAUAAAUAAGACAUUUAACUUUAACUUGGGGGAUGUGAGUUUUAAUUUAGUGUGGUGUGACACAAUCCUGAAUUUGUAUUUGUAUUUUUAUUUUUCAGUCGAGACAGAGUCCGUGGAGGUGAAUGUGUUGGAAAAAAAAGUGACACUUACCUUCAGAUUACCAACUGUUGCUAAAAGAAUCACUCAACAAAUUACUCCCAUCAAUAGGAAUUCUCUGCCUAAAAUUGCCACUAUCAAACGUUUAUUUCGAUCUUCCCUUCAGUAACUGCACUUUACAAAGAAUCUCUAUGUUCACAAAGGAUAUUUUGUUUAUUGAUUUGACAUUGUAUAGAAAUAAUAUUUUUUGCCUCAUAAUUGAAUUGGUUUUAUGAUUAGCGAUUGUUUCUUGAUAAAAUUUUGUUUUAUAGUUUGAACACAUAAUAGUUUCAUAUUCAUUUUUGUUGAUCUUGUUUUGUGCACAUACCUUGAGAA
rnacentral:lncRNA from 1 species